GAUGAACGCUGGCGGCGUGCCUAAUACAUGCAAGUCGAGCGAACAGACGAGGAGCUUGCUCCUCUGACGUUAGCGGCGGACGGGUGAGUAACACGUGGAUAACCUACCUAUAAGACUGGGAUAACUUCGGGAAACCGGAGCUAAUACCGGAUAAUAUAUUGAACCGCAUGGUUCAAUAGUGAAAGACGGUUUUGCUGUCACUUAUAGCUGGAUCCGCGCCGCAUUAGCUAGUUGGUAAGGUAACGGCUUACCAAGGCCACGCUGCGUAGCCGACCUGCGAGGGUGAUCGGCCACACGGGAACUGGGACACGGGCCAGACGCCUACGGGAGGCAGCAGUAGGGAAUCUUCCGCAAUGGGCGAAAGCCUGACGGAGCAACGCCGCGUGAGGGAUGAAGGUCUUCGGAUCGUAAAACUCUGUUAUUAGGGAAGAACAAAUGUGUAAGUAACUAUGCACGUCUUGACGGUACCGAAUCAGAAAGCCACGGCUAACUACGUG
rnacentral:rRNA from 1 species